CUACGGGGGGCAGCAGUGAGGAAUAUUGCGCAAUGGAGGAAACUCUGAUGCAGCAACGCCGCGUGGAGGGUGACGCAUUUCGGUGUGUAAACUCCUUUUAUAUGUCAAGAAAAUGACGGUAGCAUAUGAAUAAGCACCGGCUAACUCCGUGCCAGCAGCCGCGGUAAUACGGAGGGUGCAAGCGUUACUCGGAAUCACUGGGCGUAAAGGACGCGUAGGCGGGAUAUCAAGUCAGGUGUGAAAUCCUACAGCUUAACUGUAGAACUGCACUUGAAACUGGUAACCUAGAGUAUGGGAGGGGGAGGUGGAAUUAGUGGUGUAGGGGUAAAAUCCGUAGAUAUCACUAGGAAUACCUAAAGCGAAGGCGAUCUCCUGGAACAUAACUGACGCUAAGGCGUGAAAGCGUGGGGAGCAAACAGGAUUAGAUACCCGUGUAGUC
rnacentral:rRNA from 1 species